UCCGGUUUGUCACCGGCAGUCUCAUUAGAGUGCUCAACUGAAUGUAGCAACUAAUGACAAGGGUUGCGCUCGUUGCGGGACUUAACCCAACAUCUCACGACACGAGCUGACGACAGCCAUGCAGCACCUGUGUCUAGGUUCCCUUUCGGGCACCCCCGCCUUUCAGCGGGCUUCCGGACAUGUCAAGGGUAGGUAAGGUUGUUCGCGUUGCAUCGAAUUAAUCCACAUCAUCCACCGCUUGUGCGGGUCCCCGUCAAUUCCUUUGAGUUUUAGCCUUGCGGCCGUACUCCCCAGGCGGGGCACUUAAUGCGUUAGCUUCGGCACGGAGGGAGUCGACACCCCCCACACCUAGUGCCCAUCGUUUACGGCGUGGACUAC
rnacentral:misc_RNA from 1 species